AUCGAACGCUAGCGGGAUGCUUUACACAUGCAAGUCGAACGAGUGGCGGACGGGUGAGUAAUAUAUCGGAACGUGCCUAGCCGCGGGGGAAAACUACUCGAAAGAGUGGCUAAUACUGCAUACUAUUGGAGCGGCCGAUACCGGAUUAGUGAGUGGGUGGGGUAAAGGCUCACCAAGGCAACGAUCCGUAGCUGGUUUGAGAGGGCGACCGGCCACACUGGGACUGAGACACGGCCCAGACUCCUACGGGAGGCAGCAGUGGGGAAUUUUGGACAAUGGGGGAAACCCUGAUCCAGCCAUCCCGCGUGUAUGAGAAGGCCUUCGGGUUGUAAAGUACUGUUGGCAGAGAAGCGGUAUCUGCGGAAUAAGCACCGGCUAACUCCGUGCCAGCAGCCGCGGUAAUUC
rnacentral:rRNA from 1 species